GACAAAAUUACCUUCCACCCCUACUACACAACUAAAGAAAUCCUAGGCCUAUUUCUCCUCCUCCUCGCCCUAAUAACACUGGUACUAUUCUCACCCGACCUUCUAGGCGACCCAGACAACUAUACCCUAGCCAACCCCCUAAACACCCCACCCCACAUUAAACCCGAAUGUUACUUUCUAUUCGCCUACGCAAUCCUACGGUCCAUUCCCAAAAAACUAGGAGGCGUAUUAGCCCUCCUAUUAUCAAUU
rnacentral:lncRNA from 1 species